rnacentral:miRNA from 1 species
UACCUCAUCAACCUGAAGGGAUUCCUUACAGUCAAUGAAGAGUAUUGACUUCAUCAACUGGAAGGAAUCCCUUCUGGUCAAUGAGGUU